rnacentral:rRNA from 1 species
UAGUCCAUGCCCUAAACGAUGUUUACUCGAUGUUUGGAUUUAGGUUUGAGCAUCCAAGGGAAACCGUUAAGUAAACCACCUGGGGAGUACGUUCGCAAGAAUGAAACUCAAAGGAAUUGACGGGGUCCGCACAAGCGGUGGAGCAUGUGGUUUAAUUCGAUGAUACGCGAGGAACCUUACCUAGGCUCUAAUGUGAUUGACCGGUUCUGAAAGGGACCUUUCCUUCGGGACAAGAAACAAGGUGCUGCAUGGUUGUCGUCAGCUCGUGCCGUGAGGUGUUGGGUUAAGUCCCGCAACGAGCGGCAACCCCUAUUCUUAGUUGCCAGCAUGUAAUGAUGGGGACUCUAGGAAGACUGCCGGCGUAAGCCGCGAGGAAGGUGGGGACGACGUCAAAGUCAUCAUGGCCUUUAUGCCCAGGGCUACACACGUGCUACAAUGGUGCAUACAACGGGUUGCGAAGCCGUGAGGUGGAGCUAAUCUCUGAAAGUGCAUCCCAGUUCGGAUCGAAGUCUGGAACUCGACUUCG